rnacentral:misc_RNA from 1 species
GUGAAUCAUCGAAUCUUUGAACGCACCUUGCGCUCCUUGGUAUUCCGAGGAGCAUGCCUGUUUGAGUGUCAUGAAAUUCUCAACCUCUCUAGUUUUUUCAACUGGUUAGGCUUGGAUUAUGGAAGUUGCUGGCUCAUUGUGAAUCAGCUCUUCUCAAAUGUAUUAGCAAAGACCUUUGCUGCUCAUCAUUGGUAUGAUAAUUAUCUAUAUCGUUGAUAAACAGUGUCCUUCACGGGAGAGAUCUUGCUUCUAAUAGUCUCUUUAGACAAUUUGACAACUUUUGACCUCAAAUCAGGUAGG